rnacentral:rRNA from 1 species
AUGACUUUGUACUCUAGGUUGGAAAAGUACAGGCAAAGCGCUCAGCAUCGGUGUGGUCUCUUCGUAGAGUCUCAAGUUGAUGCUAUUAAAAAUAGACUUGAUAAAAAAUACAACACAUGUGAUGGCUUUCAUGUGCGCGUCAAGUCUAUUGAUGGUUUUCAAGGAGAAGAGGAUGAUAUAUUAAUACUAUCACCGGUAAUAUCCAAUUGGAAUGGAGUUGUUGGGUUUCUUGCUGAUAACCAAAGAACAAACAUUACAUGGGACAAGGGCAAGGCUCUGGAUUUUCUGAAUGAAUCGUUAGGAUAUACAACUGAAGCAAUGACGUCCUGCCGGUGUAUAUAG